rnacentral:lncRNA from 1 species
GGAAGGAGGGAGAAAUUAUGACCGAGAGCCUGACACCUGAUGCUGGCGGCUUUUGUCUCGCCAAGUUGACCCAGUAUUUGGCCACCUUGUGCGGCGGGUGACUAUGGUGUCCCGGAUUGGUGUCAGCAGAAAACCAACAGUGAUGUGGUGGCACACAGUGAACUGACCAGACCCAGGCAGCAGCGGCUCUUUUGGUGGCAAUGGUGCCACGUCAUGGGUACUCUCCUUGCUGAUGGCAGAUACCGACAGGCAAACUGUUGCCUUGCGUUUAGCUCUGUUAACCAUUGACAGCAAGGUAAGCAUGUCUUCAGCGUUCAUAGCUCUUAAAGAUCUUGUCUGUAACACAAGGGUUUAAGACUGGGGUCUCAUUUUGUUGUCCUGACUUAGACUUGACAGUCCUCCUGCUUCAGCCUGCUAAGUGCCAAGAUUACAGGGUUGAGCCAGCAUGCCUAACUUGUAGUUUAGUUUCUUCAGACAGGGUCUCAUGCAGCACAGGCUGGCUUCAGACUUGCUAUGGAGCAUAGGAUUACCUUGAACCUUGAUCUUCCUGCCUCUACCUUCUAAGUUCUGGGAUUCCAGGCAUGCUCAGUUAAAACAAUAAUGUUUCAAGUGGUGGAUUUAGUCAUAUUCUUCUGGAGACUAAGACAAUAGAGUCCUUGAAGUCAAGCUGACUCUGCCUUUAGCCUCCUACAUGAAAAGGUAGAUAGAACAGGUCUUGUUUGCAAAAUAAAUUCAAGACCUACUUAUCUACCAACAGCCAUUGCCUACGUCCCACAGUCUUCCUACAAGAAGUGGGUGCAGUGAACUCCUAGAUGAGGAAGGCUGGGAAAGCCAGAGUGGACAAAGUCUCUACUAGUGAUAGAAAGGUGCUUGGAGGUCAGACAGGCGGGUUAGAAAGUUGAGAACUUGUUUCCUAUAAUGCAG